rnacentral:lncRNA from 1 species
GUCCCCUUCAGGUCCCAGUAGAGAUGAGAACCAGGAAAGACCAAGGGAUUUGCCCUCAGGAAGUUAGAAACUGAUAAUUGCAAAACUCAGAAUGGAGAUCACAGGAAACUACACAAGGUAUUAAUGAGAACUGAAUUCACCUCUUGAAAACGUACACAUGUGAGGGUUGGAGGACUUUUCUACAGCCCAUUUGGCUCCAGACAUUUCAAACAUUGUUUCUCCUUCAUUACCCACAUACUUCAAUGCCAGGUGCAGUAGGACAUGUUUAUAUGAUGAUACAGCUUUUGACCCUGGACGUUUUCUCACGUGGUUUCAGGAAGUUGGCAUGGCAGGCAAUAGAAUUAUUCCUGGAAGCCAUUCCUACACCCGAACAGCUAGCAAUAAUUUAACUGUACAUGAAUGCUUGUGACCCAUAUAGAUCGCAAAAACUCAAACUAAAUGCAUUCCCAACUCAUUUUUCCUUGGUUGCAGCAUCAAAAGCCUGUGGCCACUCCAAUACCAGCCUUCCCCCCGCACCCCCAAAACGAGGAGAAGAGUGACAGAAAGUUGAAGUGAAAAGAGGCAACAGCUUUAACCAAUUGCAGUCAAAACAUCUUACUUUGGAAAUUUUAUGAAAAUAGAUAAAUUUGAAUUACA